rnacentral:rRNA from 1 species
GGCGAGCGAACAGGAAAUAGCCCAGCACUGAAUCCCGCCGUUGUAACGGCGGCGGGAGAUGUGGUGUUCGGGAGGUUCCGCUUUCUUGUCGUCGUCCACUCCUGUCCAAGUUCGUCUUGAACGGGGCCCAUUUCCCAUAGAGGGUGCCAGGCCCGUAGCGACGGAGGACGGCGGCGAGAGGGACUCUCCUCAGAGUCGGGUUGCUUGAGAGUGCAGCCCUAAGUGGGUGGUAAACUCCAUCUAAGGCUAAAUAUUACCGCGAGACCGAU